AGAGUUUGAUCCUGGCUCAGGAUGAACGCUGGCGGCGUGCUUAACACAUGCAAGUCGAACGAGGCUGCACCUCUCAAGUUUUCAGAUGGAGGAGGUGCUGACCGAGUGGCGGACGGGUGAUUAACUCCUGGGGAACCUGCCCCAUUCCGGGGGAUGCCAAUUGGAAACAACUGUUAAUACCGCCUACCCUCACAGGAGGACAUCCUCCAGUGUAAAAAACUGAUGUGGAAUGAGAUGGCCCCUCGUCUGAUUACCCCCCUGGCAGGGUAACAGCCUACCAAAGCGACGAUCAGUAGCCGGCCUGAGAGGUCGACCGGCCACAUUGGGACUGAGACACGGCCCAAACUCCUACGGGAGGCAGCAGUGGGGAAUAUUGGGCAAUGGGGGAAACCCUGACCCAGCAACGCCGCGUGAAGGAAGAAGGCCUUCGGGUUGUAAACUUCUUUUAGCAGGGACGAAGAACGUGACGGUACCUGCAGAAAAAGCAACGGCUAACUACGUGCCAGCAGCCGCGGUAAUACGUAGGUUGCAAGCGUUGUCCGGAUUUACUGGGUGUAAAGGGCGUGUAGGCGGAGAUGCAAGUCAGGAGUGAAAUCCCGGGGCUCAACCCCGGAACUGCUUUUGAAACUGCAUCCCUUGAGUAUCGGAGAGGCAAGCGGAAUUCCUAGUGUAGUGGUGAAAUGCGUAGAUAUUAGGAGGAACACCAGUGGCGAAGGCGGCUUGCUGGACGACAACUGACGCUGAGGCGCGAAAGCGUGGGGAGCAAACAGGAUUAGUUACCCUGGUAGUCCACGCUGUAAACGAUGAAUACUAGGUGUGGGAGGACUGACCCCUUCCGUGCCGCAGUUAACACAAUAAGUAUUCCACCUGGGGAGUACGGCCGCAAGGUUGAAACUCAAAGGAAUUGACGGGGGCCCGCACAAGCAGUGGAUUAUGUGGUUUAAUUCGACGCAACGCGAAGAACCUUACCAGGACUUGACAUCCAACUAACGAAGUAGAGAUACAUUAGGUGCCCUUCGGGGAAAGUUGAGACAGGUGGUGCAUGGUUGUCGUCAGCUCGUGUCGUGAGAUGUUGGGUUAAGUCCCGCAACGAGCGCAACCCCUAUUGUUAGUUGCUACGCAAGAGCACUCUAGCGAGACUGCCGUUGACAAAACGGAGGAAGGCGGGGACGACGUCAAAUCAUCAUGCCCCUUAUGUCCUGGGCUACACACGUAAUACAAUGGCGGUCAACAAAGGGAAGCAAAGCCGCGAGGUGGAGCAAAUCCCCAAAAACGGUCUCAGUUCGGAUUGCAGGCUGCAACUCGCCUGCAUGAAGCUGGAAUUGCUAGUAAUCGUGGAUCAGCAUGCCGCGGUGAAUACGUUCCCGGGCCUUGUACACACCGCCCGUCA
rnacentral:rRNA from 1 species